UACGUAGGGUGCAAGCGUUGUCCGGAAUUAUUGGGCGUAAAGAGCUCGUAGGCGGUCUGUCGCGUCUGUUGUGAAAACUCAGGGCUUAACCCUGAGCUUGCAGUGGGUACGGGCAGACUAGAGUGCGGUAGGGGAGACUGGAAUUCCUGGUGUAGCGGUGAAAUGCGCAGAUAUCAGGAGGAACACCGGUGGCGAAGGCGGGUCUCUGGGCCGUAACUGACGCUGAGGAGCGAAAGCGUGGGGAGCGAACAGG
rnacentral:rRNA from 1 species